rnacentral:lncRNA from 1 species
ACAAUUAAGUUUUGUCAAUGGUUCCGGUACCCAAGCUUGCAUUGAGGUUAUAUUUGGAAUGUGCUAAGGCUGUCAAUGACUGUGAUCUUGAACCUGUAGCAUACGAGUUUUUCACCAUAUUGAUUACAUGCUUGAUAACGUGUUCAUGACAAUUACAGUUGUGUUGAUAUUAACUUUUUGUUGGAUUUGUUAUGUGCUCUGUGAAAUAUACGAUUUAUGUAGGGUUCCAUGGUGAUUCCGGCAAGAAGGAUCUUCCGAUAUGAUUUUUGAAUCAGCAAUUACGAGUCGAUUCUCCAAUAUAGGGGCUGCAGAGACCACUAGCGGCGUGAUUUGUGAACGUUUCGCGUGAAAGCAAGAUUUCUUUCAUCUAGGUUGUUGUCUGUUCGUUCUUUUCGAGCCACAAAUGUUUAGAGGUCAUGUAAGACUUGAUACUAUGACUCAUAUAAGUUGUCAACCAUUGUGUUACCAGGCAACAUCUACAUACAGAAAUGAGGAAGGAUGAUACGUAUUAUCAUAUAAAAGACGUUGUUGGGGACAAGAUGGCGUGGGACCCAUUCAGCCACCAAAUCUUGAUGUUCAAAAUGAUUAAAUGUGGCUCAAGAAGACAAGCCAGCUAGCAACAGAGAACCUAAUCUAAAGCUGGACAAGAGGCUAUUGCGGAUGCUUCAGUUAGUUAGCAUAUGAGGACUUCGUUUAAGGAAGCGGGUGUCGUCAAGAAUCUUUUUCGGCUUCUUGAUUAUGACAGCGAACCCAUUCGAUUAGGCGUUAUUCGCGCUUUAGAAAGGCUUUCAGUUAGGUGGAAUCUCUUUCUUUCUGAUUAAACUUUUUUUUGUCAAAGUUUACGAGUAUAGUUUCAUUUAUAAGCACGUUUUUUUUGUGUAAAUGCAACAAUGAUGUUUGCCAGAAAAUUCAAGCUGAGGGUGUUUUGAAGCCGUUAAUAAGAUCACUGAAGAAUUCGGAUGCUUCAGAAAGUUCAACUCGUAUGAUCCUGAAUAUUCUUGGUCGGAUAUUAGAUCCCAGUAAAGAAAUGAAAUCAAAGGCCUUUGCAUCCUAAUUUGUAUAUUGUUAAGAAGAUCUAAAGCUGGUUUGAAACAUUUAAAAAUGGCAUGGAACCGACUUUAACAAGUAUAAACUACCCUAAAACAGCUAAAGUGGUAUGUUUAUGUCGUGUGCCUUGCUUAUCUUGGGCCCUCACUUUGUAAGCGUCUUCGCCUAGGCGAUAAUCAUCUGAUAUGCAACUGCUAAAGGAAACACUUAAGGGAACUGAAUGAUAAUCAGCUUACAUGUCAUAUUCCACCGGAGCUUGGAAAACUCACCGACCUGUUUGACCUGAAGAAAAAAUUAGGAAACUUUAAACAUGAUGAGUUAGGCUUGAACUUCGGUGA